UCAGCCCCGUGGUGCAGGCGAAGCUGGCCAAGAACUACGGCGUGACCCGGAUGGACCCGUACUGCCGCAUCCGGCUGGGCUACGCGGUGUACGAGACGGCGACCGCCCACAACGGCGCCAAGAACCCGCGGUGGAACAAGGUGAUUCAGUGCACGGUCCCCCCCAGCGUGGACUCUUUCUACCUGGAGAUCUUCGAUGAGCGCGCCUUCUCCAUGGAUGACCGCAUCGCAUGGACCCACAUCACCAUUCCCGAGUCCCUCAAACAGGGGAAAGUGGAGGACGAGUGGUACAGCUUGAGUGGAAGGCAGGGCGACGACAAAGAAGGGAUGAUUAACUUGGUCAUGUCCUACACGUCUCUGCCGACCGCCAUGAUGAUGCAGCCUCAGCCUGUGGUCCUGAUGCCCACGGUGUACCAGCAGGGGGUGGGCUACGUGCCCAUUACAGGGAUGCCCGCGGUCUGCGGCCCGGGGGUGAUGCCCUUGGCGGUGGCCCCCCCAGUGCUCAGCCCCCAGCCCCCGUGCAGUGAAGAAGAUCUGAAAGCCAUCCAGGACAUGUUCCCCAACAUGGACAGAGAAGUGAUCCGCUCGGUGCUGGAAGCCCAGAGGGGAAACCGCGAGGCCGCUAUCAACUCCCUGCUUCAGAUUGGGGAGGAGUCAUAGGGCCUUCCCUGGGGGCCACGGCCCCUCACUGCCCCCGCUCCUCCACCCGCCCCGUCCCCGGGCCCUCGUGUCCCCAGCUGCAGGCUCUCUUCGGUCACUUUGCAGAUGCAUGUGGGUCUUUCCAGUUAAUUGCCGUCUGUGCUGUUCUGUAGAGGUGGGAGAAGCGUCCUCUGUAUUUAUUCCCUCCCUGUGCCCUUCCCGGGGGCCACGGGGUCAGCGCCCUCCACCUCUGGCCCGGGGCGCUCCGUUACCCCCUGCCCUGGGCCGGAGAGGGGAAGCCCGCCCCGCCCCCAUCCCCGCCCCUUCCCGGGCUCUGCCCCUGGCAUGGCAGUGCCCGGCUCUGGCUCCCGAGGGUCCUCGCCUGUCACAAGGCCCGCCCCCCAGCCCGGAAGCAUGCCGCUUUGGGGAUCCGCCUCGGCCGGCGGAGAGCCCCCUUCCCGCUCCUACCGUCUCCUGCUGCUUUACUACUGAGGGGGCCGGAGCCCCCCGCCCUCAGCCAUGCCCAGGUCGGCCCCUUCCCUGUGGACAGGGCAGCCGCCCCUUCUGUGGGAGGGCGCGUCUGGGGGCACCCAGAAGUUGCGCACUUUAUGGCGGCCCGGCCUCUGUGCCGGGCCUCGGGGGAGAGGGGGAGUGGCUGGCCUCAGGCCUGGGAGGCCCUGGCUGCUCCCUGUCCCCCUCCGAGAACACCCCGUUCCCUGCUCAACGGGCUGUUGACUAUCAGAUCUGUUGCGUCUGGCGCGCGCUGGCGAUGGCGCAGCGGCGUCGGUCUCAGGACAGGACCAAAUGCUUUUGUGGAGCUUUUUUUUCAUAGCAGGGAAGGCAGUAGCCCCCCUCCCCUCCAGCCCCUCGUAAAAAGCGCUGAGAUUUCCUUUGAGGGCCAGAGCCUGGCCCCGAGUCACCACCUGGAGGACAGCCUGAAGAACAGGCGGCUGUGCCCUUGUCUGAGGCGGGGGCUGCCCUCCCUGCAGGGGCUGGGCCCGGGCACUCCCCUACAUGGGGCUCCCUGGGCCUGGGGUCGGUAGCAGCUUGGGAGGCAGAGACUGCGCCAUGAUGGGGCCCAGGAAGGACUUGGAGAAGGGUGAUGGGCUCUGCUCGCCGGGGCCUCCCGGGGCCCUUCCUGCCUCUGUGGGGAUGACCGGGGUCCUCAAGCGCUGCUUCGUGGCUGGGGUUCGGUGUCUGCAGUUUUUCUCUCAUUGUCACAUACGUUUUGGUCUAAUUUAAUAAAUGAUCAUCUACACGAAUACGAACACGGAACUCAAUCUGUUCUCCAAGGUCUGCGUCUGAAAACUUGGGCUCCCACCCAGGGCCCGGGCGCGGCUGGGACCAAGCGAGGCC
ensembl:lncRNA